rnacentral:rRNA from 1 species
CAGCACCUCAAGUGGUCAGGAUGAUGAUUGGGCCUAAAGCAUCCGUAGCCGGCGCUGUAAGUUUUCGGUUAAAUCUGGACGCUCAACGUACAGGCUGCCGGGAAUACUGCAGCGCUAGGGAGUGGGAGAGGUAGACGGUACUCGGUAGGAAGGGGUAAAAUCCUUUGAUCUAUUGAUGACCACCUGUGGCGAAGGCGGUCUACCAGAACACGUCCGACGGUGAGGGAUGAAAGCUGGGGGAGCAAACCGGAUUAGAUACCCGAGUAGUCC